AUGAACGCUGGCGGCGUGCCUAAUCCAUGCCAGUCGAGCGAACGGACGAGAAGCUUGCUUCUCUGAUGUUAGCGGCGGACGGGUGAGUAACACGUGGCUAACCUACCUAUAAGACUGGGAUAACUUCGGGAAACCGGAGCUAAUACCGGAUAAUAUUUUGAACCGCAUGGUUCCAAAGUGAAAGACGGUCUUGCUGUCACUUAUAGAUGGAUCCGCGCUGCAUUAGCUAGUUGGUAAGGUAACGGCUUACCAAGGCAACGAUGCAUAGCCGACCUGAGAGGGUGAUCGGCCACACUGGAACUGAGACACGGUCCAGACUCCUACGGGAGGCAGCAGUAGGGAAUCUUCCGCAAUGGGCGAAAGCCUGACGGAGCAACGCCGCGUGAGUGAUGAAGGUCUUCGGAUCGUAAAACUCUGUUAUUAGGGAAGAACAUAUGUGUAAGUAACUGUGCACAUCUUGACGGUACCUAAUCAGAAAGCCACGGCUAACUACGUG
rnacentral:rRNA from 1 species